GCCGCGGCGCGCAUCGAAUCGCUUUGCCUUGAAGUCAGUCCACUUUGAAACGUUGGACGGUGAGUGCCGUGCUCCGCAUCGCGCACAUAAAAUGCUCGUGAAACGUCAAUGACGCGUAUCGCUUGCGUCCCGCACCACGUUGUUCUUAUACCUAUAUGUACUUGACUUUGAGACUCGCAGUCGCGUCGUCAUCGUUGUCGUCAUCAUCGUUGUCGUCGUUAUCGUAUCCGAUUACCGUGACUACAACCUGUCCGUCAAGACAUCUGAACGUCGCACCAAAAGUCUAACGAUUCAUUGACUGAAGGUUGUGACAAGUGCGCGCGACAGCAUGGAUCGAUCGUCCAAGUUUAUUCUGCGGAAGCUCAUCGUGGACCUCCUCUGCGUGUUUAUCGUGGGUAUCGCAGUGUUGAUGUUUUACCUAUUUGGCAAACCGUACAAACGCGGCUUUUUUUGCAACGAUGAAUCACUCUAUCACCCGUAUCACGAAUCCACUAUUACGAGCCCGAUGCUGUACAUCAUCGGCCUUUGCCUUCCUGCAUGCACGAUGUUGAUAGGAGAAUACCUGCACGCGAGACACUUCUCCGGACAUACGGCGAAGGUACUCUUCGGAUACACAAUACCUCCAUGGCUGUGGAAUGCUUAUGAAAAGAUUGGUGUAUUUGUUUUUGGCGCGACCUGCACCUCUUUAACCACAGACAUCGCGAAAUACUCAAUAGGCCGGCUACGACCGCACUUUAUGAAGCUAUGUGUGCCCAACAUUGACUGCAGCUUGCCUGAAAAUCAGCACAGAUACAUCGAGCAAUUUAACUGCACCGCAAGCGGGAUUUCGGCCAAAUUGCUAAAAGAAGUCAGAUUAUCGUUUCCCUCCGGUCACUCGUCCUCCUCGGCCUACACCAUGAUCUACCUUGCGAUGUAUCUUCAAUUAAGGAUAAAGUGGAAGGGCAGCAAAUUGCUUAAGCACUUUCUUCAACUGCUGUGCCUGCUCAUGGCCUGGUUUACCGCUAUGUCACGAAUUUCCAAUUACAAACAUCACUGGAGUGAUGUUCUCGCUGGAUCUACUCUUGGCACAAUCUGUGCUUUACUUGUAGGGCACUGCGUGGCAGAUCUCUUCAAGGAGGAAAGAGAGAGACACUAUUCUACAGAGAAGCAUCGACCUGCCGAUUACGAAACGGAAACUGGCGUCGCUAGUACACAGGUGAAUAAUGGCACUGCUAAUCGCAACUGUUGACCUAACGAGCUCGCUCUUCGCUUGCUGACUGCAACAAGGCCGUGACUGUCUUCUAGUUGUCUCUGGGAAGCUAAAAAGGUUUCCGGAUUUUUGUUCGGGGAACAUCAGGUCGGAUCUCAUCUGGAUGUACACGUCGGCGUAGCCUUCUCCAGCCCUGGACUCUCUUUAGAACGAAAUCGACAUCUCACUGACGUGUUUUCGUCUUUAAUACUAUAUGAGCACUUGGAACCCUCAUUAAUGCUCUGUUGAUGUUGUACAAAAAAAGAGAGAAACAAAAAAUUAGAGUGCAAUGUAGCUAAAGCUUACGAAUAUUUUUUAUUUUGUUGAGCUUUGUUUGGUUGAUUAUACGAACAUAUUUGACGUGACGCAAUGUAUUUUAUGUGCAGCGAAGAGUGACAAUUUCUUUUUUAUGCCUUCGUCUCUUAGCUUGUUGUAAUGCUCGAAGGAUAGAUGUACGCUUAAAAGUCUACGUUUGUGGCCUUCCUUGCGAUGGACUGGCAAAAGAUGAAAAUAUUUCGUCGCAAAGAAUCAAUAUUGAUUGAAACGGAAAAGAAAAUUAUUUUCGUAGUUAAUAUUUAUAGAAUUCUAAAUAAUGAAGAUGUAUUUAUUUCUUUACAGUAUAACAUAUUUAUUUUUAAUCGAGGAAUUGGUCAAGUCUAUUAAAUUUAGCAUAAUAGACCGAUGAUCUUCUCCUUUUAUUACAAGUAAUGGAAAAUUGAUGAUCAGCAAAAUUAUUUUAUAUUAUAUUAGCAUAUUGUUUUAAUUAUACUGUUGUUUAAAUUACUCUUUAUUACUUUAGCAGUUUAUCUAUACUGUGCGAUAAUUGAAAAGUGUGCAUGCGUUAUAUACAAGAGAAUUUUAAAUUUAAGAGCUUUUUGAUUUUGCUAUUUUUUAAUAGCUUCAAUAUCCUUAUAAUGUUUUCUAGAUAUUGGCCUAUUCUGCUGAGCAGAUAUGUUGAUAGCUGUCAGAGAAUUACAAUCAGAUAAUAGAGUUUCAGUCGUUAAACAACAUUUGGAUUAUAAAAGAGAUAUUGAUAAUGUUUAAGAUUUAAAUCGAUUUCAAUCUUACUCUACAACUGUGUUAUAAUUCAACGAUGUCGCAAACUAUCUAGGCAAGUAUCGUGACAAAGUUAACAAAAAUGCAACUCGUGCGACUAUUUUUUACUUAUGACAUUUUCUGAAACUAUAUUUAAUAUAUUCUAAAAUUUUAUUAUUUCCAGCGCGAAUAAAUGCGCGAAGAAUAAAUGAAUUACAAGCCAUUGAGAAAAAUUUAUUUCUAUGAAAGUAAAUACUUAAUUUUCGUUAUCAUAAGGGAAAUAUAGAUUACAUAAUUUUUUAAAUUUUAUUCUAUUUCUUUCUCUUUUCCUAUUUUAAAAACAUAUAAAAACUAAAUAAAAAAUUUAUUUUAGAAUAAUAAAAAUAUAUAAUUUAUUAUUUUGAAUAAUAAAUAACAUUAUUUUUUUAAUAAAGAUAAGUAAAAAUAAAAUUUAUUAAUUUAUUUUCAAAAUGUUUGAUUGUCUCUUGUGAUAAUUGUAAAAUAGGGAGAGAUAAAAAAAUGAGAAGAAAUUUUAAUGACAUUCUCUGAUUUCAAUAAUUGAGAAUUUAUACUGUAGAAUGAAUUUUCUUAUUAAUUUUUUUUUAAUUUACCCGUUUUUUUAUGGGGAACAUUUAUUUAAUUCUAAUUUAAAUCUAUCUCUAGACACAAAACCAUUUUUAGAACAUAUAUAUAUAGAUUAAUAGAAACACAGGUUCUUAUACUUAAGAAUCAUUGCAAGUCGACUUUCUUGCUGCAAUACGACUUUUUAUGGCAUUAACUGAUGCGCCGAUAUCUGUCGAAUAUACAUUAUUAAUCCUGAAACAUAUAUAAUUAAUGUGUAGAUGAUACAUACAUAGUAUAUGGUGCUCUAGAAUUUUAAUUAAGUUUACGAUGGCGAUUUGCCAUAGUUUCAUUGAAAGUAUUUGGUAACCAUCGUGUAGAAAAUCACGAUAGAAAAAACCGCGUACAUUCGCAUAUACUGAUAUAUAUAUAUAUAUAUAUAUAUAUAUAUAUAUAUAUAUAUAUAUAUAUAUAUAUAUAUAUUAUAUAGAAAGAUUUUUUAUUUAUUUUAUAUAAAAUUAUAUAUAUACACAAGCACACACAUUGUUAUAUAAAUAUGUCAUAUAUAUAUGUCUAAUUUUUAAUUGUCGUUAUCUUUCAAUUCGAGCAGAGCUCUGAAAUUUUCGAUAACGAAGGAAUGAUUCAAUUGAAUCGAUGUGUUGUUAUAAUACGACUUUACUUAUAAUGUUUAUAUUAUACAUAAUUUCUUCCAUUUUUUGAAUAAUUAUAUACAAUUAAAUAAUUUAUUAUGAUCUAGAUAAUUUAGAAGUGUAUAAUGUAUAUGGUGUCUUACAAUACUCUUAAUUUUAUUGACACAUUUUUUUAUCACUUGAGUUUAUUUUUGCUGAAUUGAAAAUCGAAGCAUUAAUUUUAGAAUAUAAUAAAAUCUUACUUGAAAUAGGCAAGUAGAGUAUUUGCUGUUUUAGAAUUUUAAUCUCAAGUUUAAUUACUAACAAAGCGAAAUAAAGAGAGAAAAUAAAAAUUAAAAAGUUAUUACAUGUAAAUUUUUUAAUGUUUAAAAAAAAAUUAAUUUUAGAUUCAAAGAAUUUAGUAAAUUAAAGUUAAGAUUUUUGGGGCACCUUUUACAUUAAUAUAUAUUGUACUUUACAUUUUUGGCACAAGUCAAUACAUGACAACAAUACGUCUGUUAUGCAUUAUGGCGAUUUGAUUAGUGUAUAUCAAUUGUAUCUUUCUAUUUAGAUUAUAUGUAGUCGCGUGUGCACAGUAAAUUACAUCUGUCUGAUCGCUUAAAAAAAAAUAGCAUAUAUGAGAUAUGGAAGAUAGAACGGGAUCAUACUAUUACAAGAGACCAAGAUUGCUUUAUAAUUAAUCUAAUGACUCUUAGCGCGUAUAUAUAUAUAUAUAUAUAUAUAUAUAUAUAUAUCUACUAUAUAUAUUCAUUGAAUGAAAAAUUGUAUUACACGAUAACUGUGUAAUAAGAAUAUUAAUUGCGCGGAACAUUCGUCGUUUUCUUCUGCGUAACAUCGAGUACCACACGCGAGGCGAAGCGUCGCCAAUAAAUGCUGUACAUACAUAGGAGUAGGAAUAAAUUAUUGAAUAUAUGCAUCACAUA